rnacentral:rRNA from 1 species
AGGAUAAACGCUGGCGGCGUGCCUAACACAUGCAAGUCGAACGCCCUUUAGCUUCGCAAGGAGUGGGAGGGAGUGGCGGACGGGUGAGGAACACGUGGGUGACCUACCUUUCAGUGAGGAAUACCGGCGAGAAAUCGCCGACAAGACCGCAUACGGUUGCUGCAUCAGCGCAGCAACGAAAGCUUCAUGAGAGUGAGGCGCUGGAAGAUGGGCCUGCGGCCGAUUAGCUAGCUGGUGGGGUAAUGGCCUACCAGGGCGACGAUCGGUAGCUGGUCUGAGAGGACGAUCAGCCACACUGGGAUUGAGAACGGCCCAGACUCCUACGGGGGCAGCAGUGAGGAAUUUCGUCAAUGGGGGCAACCCUGAACGAGCAACGCCGCGUGCAGGAAGAAGGUUUUCGGAUCGUAAACUGCUUUUCUCGGGGAAGAGAACGGACGGUACCCGAGGAAUCGAGCCCCGGCUAACGUACGUGCCAGCAGCCGC